rnacentral:rRNA from 1 species
CUAUUCGGGCGGCUGCCGUGGGGAAUAUUGCUCAAUGGGCCCNAGCCUGAUGCAGCCAUGCCGCGUGUGUGAAGAAGGCCUUAGGGUUGUAAAGCACUUUCACUAAGGAGGAAAGGUUAGUACUUAAUACCUGCUACCUGUGACGAUACUUACAGAAGAAGCACCGGCUAACUCCGUGCCAGCAGCCGCGGUAAUACGGAGGGUGCGAGCGUUAAUCGAAAUUACUGGGCGUAAAGCGUACGCACGCGGUUUGUUAACCGAGAUGUGAAAGCCCCGGGCUCAACCUGGGAACUGUAUUUCGAACUGCCAAACUAUACUAUGAUAGAGGGUGGUAGAAUUUCAGGUGUAGCGUCGAAAUGCAUAUAGAUCUGAGGGAAUACCGAUGGCGAAGGCAGCCACCUGGGCCCAUACUGACGCUCAUGUACAACAGCGUGGGUAGCAAACGGGAAUAGAUACCCCGGUAGUCCUCGCCCUAAUCGAUGUCUACUACGAGCUGGGGUCUUCGGACCAAUUUUCCAAGCUA